rnacentral:rRNA from 1 species
AACGUAGGAUCCGAGCGUUAUCCGAAUUUACUGGGCGUAAAGCGCGUGCAGGCGGUUCGAUAAGUUGGAUGUGAAAUCUCCUGGCCCAACUGGGAGAGGUCGUUCAAUACUGUCGGGCUAGAGGAUGGUAGAGGGAGGUGGAAUUCCCGGUGUAGUGGUGAAAUGCGUAGAGAUCGGGAGGAACACCAGUGGCGAAGGCGGCCUCCUGGGCCAUUCCUGACGCUAAGACGCGAAAGAUAGGGUAGCGAACGGG